rnacentral:rRNA from 1 species
GGUACUGGAGAGUGGCGCACGGGUGAGUAACGCGUGGGGACCUACCUCUUAGUGGGGGAUAACGGUUGGAAACGACCGCUAAUACCGCAUACGCCCUUCGGGGGAAAGAUUUAUCGCUAAGAGAUGGACCCGCGUUGGAUUAGAUAGUUGGUGAGGUAACGGCUCACCAAGUCAGCGAUCCAUAGCUGGUUUGAGAGGAUGAUCAGCCACACUGGGACUGAGACACGGCCCAGACUCCUACGGGAGGCAGCAGUGGGGAAUAUUGGACAAUGGGGGCAACCCUGAUCCAGCCAUGCCGCGUGAGUGAAGAAGGCCUUCGGGUUGUAAAGCUCUUUCAGAUGCGAAGAUGA